GUUAGGCCUGGCCCUGCCCACCAUCUGUAGUCCACAGUGCUCAGAUACCUCAGGCCAAACAAGUACCUGGGGGGCGACAGGGCCCCCCUGCUAGCAGACAGGUGCCUGAAGACUAGUGAGCCCACACCUGCAUCUGGACACAGACCGAGACAGAGCCCAGCACCCCAGACAGCCAUAUAUCUACAAAUGUGACCCUGGGAGGUGGGGACUUCGCGAGAGUGUUUCCUACGGGGGUGCAAGCUAUAAAGAGAAGAAUGCUGGGCCAAGGAAGAGAGACCAAGAUCCGUUCACCUUGAGCAGAUCACUUUUCUUUCCUGUGCAUUAGUGUCCCUAUCUAUAAAAUGAAGGAAAGGAGGAUUCCUGCCCAGCAUACAUAAUAUACAGAGAAAAGGAAAAGGUCCUGCAGGAGCAGUUGGGACUGUCGUUCAUCUGGCUGUAGUGUUCUUAACUGCAGUGAUGUCUACAUCCUCCUCAGACCUAAUAUGGCUAUAAGAGAGCUUUUGAUGCUGCUCCCCAAAACCUGUUUGGCAUCUCAGUGGUUCACAGAUAUCUUCAAGCCCCGCUGUGCUUCAUGACUACAUUUUUAGGCGCCAUCCUGGAUGUGUUGCUGUCCAUGGUGCUGAAGCCUCAUUGAGCCAAAGAGUCAAUUAAGUUUUGGUGCCUGGAAGCAAAGGGUGGGGCUGGAUGACCCAUGAGAUCUUCCUCCCCAGAAGGACUCUUGGACUAAGCCAUAGGAAGAUCCUAAAUUAGAGGAGAGAGCUGUUGGGGAGUGAAGAAAGAAGACUUAACCUGCCAAAGCCUCAGUAAGGCUAGAAAAACAAGACUCUUGCCAGAAAAGGUUUUUCUGUCCUGAGGGAAUUGCAUAACAGCAGGGUAAUUUAUAUAUACAAAUAUAUGUAUGAAUAUAUGUGCGUACACACACACACACACACACAUAUAUGCUUUGUGAUAUUUGUGCAGACUUAACACACAGCAUGAAAGCUUAAAGCCAACAAGCGAAAUUUAGUUAGCACGGCAUCCCUUAUUCUCAAUUUAUUAUUUCACCAGGGACUCAUGCAGGCUGCAGGCCUGGAGAAGUGGUGGCGGAGAGAGAGCCAGCAACCCAGGCACCAGUUGAAUUAUGUGUCACAAUUUAUAAACCAUUACGUGCUGUG
ensembl:lncRNA